AUUGAACGCUGGCGGCAUGCCUUACACAUGCAAGUCGAACGGCAGCAUGGGUGCUUGCACCUGAUGGCGAGUGGCGAACGGGUGAGUAAUGCAUCGGAACGUACCCGGAAGUGGGGGAUAACGUAGCGAAAGUUACGCUAAUAACGCAUAUUCUGUGAGCAGGAAAGUGGGUGAUCGCAAGACCUUGCGUUUCCGGAGCGGCCCAUGUCGGAUUAGCUAGUUGGCGGGGUAAAGGCCCAACAAGGCAACGAUCCGUAGCGGGUCUGAGAGGAUGAUCCGCCACACUGGGACUGAGACACGGCCCAGACUCCUACGGGAGGCAGCAGUGGGGAAUUUUGGACAAUGGGGGCAACCCUGAUCCAGCCAUGCCGCGUGAGUGAAGAAGGCCUUCGGGUUGUAAAGCUCUUUCGGCCGGGAAGAAAUCGCACAGGUUAAUACCUUGUGUGGAUGACGGUACCGGAAUAAGAAGCACCGGCUAACUACGUGCCAGCAGCCGCCGUAAAAC
rnacentral:rRNA from 1 species